rnacentral:rRNA from 1 species
UACGGGGGGGGCAAGCGUUGUUCGGAAUUACUGGGCGUAAAGGGCUCGUAGGCGGCCAACUAAGUCAGACGUGAAAUCCCUCGGCUUAACCGGGGAACUGCAUCUGAUACUGGAUGGCUUGAGUUCGGGAGAGGGAUGCGGAAUUCCAGGUGUAGCGGUGAAAUGCGCAGAUAUCGGGAGGAACACCCGUAGCGAAGGCGGCACUCUGGGCCGGUACUGACGCUGAGGAGCGAAAGCGUGGGGAGCAAACAGG